GUAACACACACUGGAGGACCGAACCGACUAGUGUUGCAAAAUUAGCGGAUGAGCUGUGGAUAGGGGUGAAAGGCCAAACAAAUCUGGAGAUAGCUGGUUCUCCCCGAAAACUAUUGAGGUAGUGCCUCGUGUGUCGCUCCAGGGGGUAGAGCACUGUUUUGGCUAGGGGGACAUGGAGUCUUACCAAACCAAGGCAAACUCCGAAUACCUGGAAGCGUAAGCACGGGAGACAGAGCACCGGGUGCUAACGUCCGGACUCAAAAGGGAAACAACCCAGACCGCCGGCUAAGGUCCCCAAUAACAGCUAAGUGGAAAACGAAGUGGAAAGGCCGUGACAACCAGGAAGUUGGCUUAGAAGCAGCCAUCCUUCAAAGAAAGCGUAAUAGCUCACUGGUCGAGUCCUUCUGCGCGGAAGAUGUAACGGGGCUAAGCUGUUAACCGAAGCCGCGGAUGCACUGAUUAUUCAGUGCGUGGUAGGGGAGCGUUCUGUAAGUCUGCGAAGGCGGUUCGAGAGGACUGCUGGAGAUAUCAGAAGUGCGAAUGCUGACAUGAGUAACGUUAAAGCAGGUGAAAAGCCUGCUCGCCGUAAGCCCAAGGAUUCCUGCUCUACGUUCAUCGGAGCAGGGUGAGUCGGCUCCUAAGGUCAGGCCGAAAGGCGUAGCCGAUGGGAAUCAGGUUAAUAUUCCUGAACCUGCGUCAGAUGCGAUGGGGGGACGGAGCAUGAAAGAUCAUCCGGGUGUUGGAUGUCCCGGUUGACGAGCGUAGGAGGUCUGCAGGCAAAUCCGCAGACGCAUCUCCAAGGCGAAGUCACGUGCCGCCACGGCGGCGAAGUGAUCGGAAGUGCUUCCAAGAAAAGCCUCUAAGCACCAGUCUGACGCGGACCGUACCGCAAACCGACACUGGUGGGCGAGCUGAAUAUGCUCAGGCGCUUGAGAGAACUCGGGAGAAGGAACUCGGCAAAUUGACACCGUAACUUCGGAAGAAGGUGUGCCGUAGUAGCGUGAGAGGAGAGACACCUUGAGCGUGAAUCGGUCUCAGAGAAUAGGUGGCUGCGACUGUUUAUUAAAAACACAGCACUCUGCAAAGUCGAAAGACGACGUAUAGGGUGUGAUGCCUGCCCGGUGCUGGAAGAUUAAUUGAUGGGGUGAGAGCCCUUGAUCGAAGUCCCAGUAAACGGCGGCCGUAACUAUAACGGUCCUAAGGUAGCGAAAUUCCUUGUCGGGUAAGUUCCG
rnacentral:rRNA from 1 species